rnacentral:lncRNA from 1 species
UCCAAGCAUGGCCGAGUGUGUCGCCGCUACCGAUCUCUAUGCUACCAUGGACUUUGGACCGUUUCCUCGCCCCAACUUCGCCGUUGCUUACGUGGCGUGCUAUAUAGUAGUGACGGAUUUUACCCUGGCUCAUCUUUUGAUUCUGAACGAAGAUGGGAUUGUCUUGUGGCUGCUAUUUAUAUGUUGCUUCCUUUUGUUCUGAAGUAACAGAACCAAUCAACAGAUGCAGGAAACUGCUUAUUCGGUAGCUUCCCGCAGAGAAGGAGAAAGGGGGAAUCGUCCUGGUCCACAUGGUAAAUCAAAGUGCCUCUCUCUUUCCCUUUGUUUGUUUUGAGCAAAUGUGUUGACACGGGCCUCCAAAGCCCCAAUGUUUCUUGGCCAGCACUGGGAGUAUUUUAAAACGCGUUGAGGAAUGAACAUUGCAUCAUGUUUCUUUGACCAAU